rnacentral:rRNA from 1 species
CGAGGAACCUUACCCGGGCUUAAAUUGCAGAUGAAUUACGGUGAAAGCCGUAAGCCGCAAGGCAUCUGUGAAGGUGCUGCAUGGUUGUCGUCAGCUCGUGCCGUGAGGUGUCGGCUUAAGUGCCAUAACGAGCGCAACCCUUGUUGUCAGUUACUAACAGGUUCCGCUGAGGACUCUGACAAGACUGCCAUCGUAAGAUGUGAGGAAGGUGGGGAUGACGUCAAAUCAGCACGGCCCUUACGUCCGGGGCUACACACGUGUUACAAUGGGGGGUACAGAGGGCCGCUACCACGCGAGUGGAUGCCAAUCCCCAAAACCUCUCUCAGUUCGGACUGGAGUCUGCAACCCGACUCCACGAAGCUGGAUUCGCUAGUAAUCGCGCAUCAGCCACGGCGCGGUGAAUACGUUCCCGGGCCUUGUACACACCGCCCGUCAAGCCAUGGGAGCCGGGGGUACCUGAAGUGCGUAACCGCGAGGAGCGCCCUAGGGUAAAACUGGUGACUGGGGCUAAGUCGUAACAAGGUAGCCGUACCGGAAGGUGCGGCUGGAUCACCUC